ACCCAGAAAAUAGAAAAAAAAAAUAGCCAAAGCAUUUAAAUGAUUCAUUUCAACUGAAGUAUACUUAUAUGUAACUUUAAGCAAGUUUUCUUGAAGACAUUUUAGUAUUAUUAAGAAUUAUGGCUCCAGAAAUAUAAAAGGUACUUUGCUUCCAAAACAGCCCUCAUUGUCUCUUCCCA